rnacentral:other from 2 species
AUUACCCUGGGGCGUUUGUGAUUGCCCGGAGUGUUAUUGAGCCAAUGCUCUGAUUAAGGGCGACGACUCCAGCGUGCUGGUGUGCAUGCCCGGCGCAGCCGGGAAGCCUGAAGGCACGCGAGACAUGCCCACCUGGACAUACCAGGUUCAAAACAAACUGGUAACACGGCUUCCCGGGGACCCA